rnacentral:rRNA from 1 species
UAACUGUGGUAAUUCUAGAGCUAAUACAUGCACCAAAGCUCUGACUUUCGGAUGAGCGCAUCUAUUAGAUUAAAACCAAUCGGGCUUCCGCCCGUCACUUGGUGACUCUGAAUAGCUAUGGCUGAUCGCAUGGUCUCGUACCGGCGACGUAUCUAUCAAGUGUCUGCCUUAUCAACUUUCGAUGGUAGUUUAUGUGCCUACCAUGGUUGUAACGGGUAACGGAGAGUAAGGGUUCGACUCCGGAGAGGGAGCCUGAGAAACGGCUACCACAUCCAAGGAAGGCAGCAGGCGCGCAAAUUACCCACUCUCGGCAUGAGGAGGUAGUGACGAAAAAUAACGAGACCGUUCUCUUUGAGGCCGGUUAUCGGAAUGGGUACAAUUUAAACCCGUUAACGAGGAUCUAUGAGAGGGCAAGCCUGGUGCCAGCAGCCGCGGUAAUUCCAGCUCUCAAAGUGUAUAUCGUCAUUGCUGCGGUUAAAAAGCUCGUAGUUGGAUCUGCGCCUCAGGACCUGGUCCGUCUUAUGGAUGAGAACUGGGCUCCUAGGCUAACACUGCCGGUUUUCCUUACGUUACCUUCAUCGGUCGCGUAGGGUGGCCGGCGAGUUUACCUUGAAAAAAUUAGAGUGCUCAAAGCGGGCUAAUACCUGAAUAUUCGUGCAUGGAAUAAUGAAAUAGGAUCUCGGUUCUAUUUUGUUGGUUUUCUGAUCUGAGAUAAUGGUUAAGAGGGACAGACGGGGGCAUUCGUAUCGCUGCGUGGGAGGUGAAAUUCUUGGACCGUAGCGAGACGCCCGACUGCGAAAGCAUUUGCCAAGAAUGUCUUCAUUAAUCAAGAACGAAAGUCAGAGGUUCGAAGGCGAUCAGAUACCGCCC